AUUAGAAACAGCUGAACAUCUGCCCUGACAUCAGGCUUCUCAGGUGACGGGGAGAGCAUGCCUCAGUAUACCAGUGUACAUCACCUUGCACACAUGUAGUGAGGUGUGUCUUCAUCACUUUGAUGUGUGCAACUCUGAAAUCAGCAACAUUGGAAACCACAGGGACAGAGAUGUCAGAAAUGAGGCUCUGCUGGCCUGGCUUCCAGCAUCCCCAUAACUGAUAGCUAAAGGGCUGGCUGAAGAUCCUUGUGCCCACUGACAAAUGGGAGUGAAUGGAAUGAAUGGAGAAAGGAUAUGGAAGGAAAUCAUGAAGCAGUGAAAAAUGGAAGACAAGAACUUAAUGAGUGAGCUUAGGAGGAAAAAGACACGUGUGACCUUGGUAAUGUCAGGAAGCACAAGGAGAGAUGCAGGGGAGAAAGGAGCUGCAAAGAACCUAAAGGGUCAUAAGGAAAAAGAACAUCCAGAGUAGAAAGAGUAGAAAGAAAGGUCAGGGCAGAGAAAAAACAAGGAGGAAAAACAGAUGAAGGAAAACAAAACAGAGAAAACAAAGAAAAUAGCUCAAUCUGGAGGUGAAAACAGGAAAGACCAUACAAUAUAGCACUAACAAGCAAGCCUGCAGAUGAGCUUCCCCUACCCUGCUUCAUGUCUAGACCCUCCAGAGGCUCACCCUUGUGGGACCUUGGCAUUGUCCUGCAGGAACUGACCAAGAAGGGACAAGGUGCAAUGGUGCUACAAACAAGCCACUGUCCCUGCUCCUGGUGGGGCUCCCUGGUCUUUGAGCAGCCCUUAAUUCAGUGCACUUUCACUGGUGUUCAUGUCACGUGGGUACACCAGGCAUUGCAGCUCAGUCACUUGUUGACUGGGAUCUCUCUGUAGGAGACACUGUAAACACACACACACUGAGGGGCAACAUGCUGGCUUGGUGCCGAGACCCCCUGAAAGACAAAUACUUUGAGAUGUAAAAGGAACAAACACAAAACCCCCAAAUUUUUUCUCCUGCAUGGAUGUCUGGGCUACAAAAUAUGUUACAAGAGCAUCUUCCUCUUCAGUGAGUCUUCUUUAAACUCGAGUUUUAUCUAAAGCAGGGAUGGAGCAAUCCCACUGAUGUCACUGGGCUGAUGCCGGUGUAAAACUGGCGUGUGUGCCUGGUGAAAUAGGAGGCUGGCUACUAGGAGGCACAGCUGCUGAGCUCACUGAUGAAAUGGAGCUUCUGCAGCUGAGCCACACUCCUCUCCAGGCUUGGCUUGGGUCUGGGGGCUGGCCUGGUUUCCUCUAGCACCCCUCUCCAUCCAGGCAAGCAUUUUCCACAAGUUUUUGGCAGAAAAACACCAGUUUUGUUGAGGUUCCACAUUUCCUAUGGGUAUCAGCAAGAUGAAGAACUAUGUUCCUGAUGUUGUAAAGACUGCAUAAUUUUUUUUUUAGUUGGUUGAAUGGAAUAAAGCAGCUGAGGUAAAAGUUGUGACCGCUGAUCAGCUGCUUGAUUUCACACCCUAUUUUUUGUACUGAAGUGCAAGAGAUUAUUCUUAUUCUAAUCCCAUGUGGGUACUUGACUUCUUACAAAAGCUUUCCAUCGGAGAUGUGAAAUGAAGUGUUGUCCUUGGAGCCGUAUUAAUGCCCAAGCUGGGCCUACUCUGCCAUUACACAGAGCGUAAUUCUGUGUAGUCACUGUGAUGCUGGUGUCGAGCAUAUUGCUUUGGGAUUUCUGGGGCCAUGUAAGCUGCUAAUAAACAACACAUGUCUUUCCUAUGGAUGGAUCCCUUUACUUCACACAACAGGGCCGGUGCAAUUCACCCCACACCCAUCACACCUAAUCUUUCAUGGGAAGCAAAUAUUGAAAGAGAAAAAACCCCAACACACGAACAAUGAAAUAAGGAAGAAAGAAAAGUGACGUCCAAGGAACUUGGCAGAGCCCCGUGUGCCCCACGUGAGGAACUGGGCAGCU